UACGAAGGGGGCUAGCGUUGCUCGGAAUCACUGGGCGUAAAGGGUGCGUAGGCGGGUCUUUAAGUCAGGGGUGAAAUCCUGGAGCUCAACUCCAGAACUGCCUUUGAUACUGAGGAUCGUGAGUACGGGAGAGGUGAGUGGAACUGCGAGUGUAGAGGUGAAAUUCGUAGAUAUUCGCAAGAACACCAGUGGCGAAGGCGGCUCACUGGCCCGUAACUGACGCUGAGGCACGAAAGCGUGGGGAGCAAACAGG
rnacentral:rRNA from 1 species